rnacentral:rRNA from 1 species
AUUGAACGCUGGCGGCAUGCCUUACACAUGCAAGUCGAACGGUAACAGGUUAAGCUGACGAGUGGCGAACGGGUGAGUAAUAUAUCGGAACGUGCCCAGUCGUGGGGGAUAACUGCUCGAAAGAGCAGCUAAUACCGCAUACGACCUGAGGGUGAAAGCGGGGGAUCGCAAGACCUCGCGCGAUUGGAGCGGCCGAUAUCAGAUUAGGUAGUUGGUGGGGUAAAAGCCUACCAAGCCAACGAUCUGUAGCUGGUCUGAGAGGACGACCAGCCAGACUGGGACUGAGACACGGCCCAGACUCCGACGGGAGGCAGCAGUGGGGAAUUUUGGACAAUGGGCGCAAGCCUGAUCCAGCCAUGCCGCGUGCGGGAAGAAGGCCUUCGGGUUGUAAACCGCUUUUGUCAGGGAAGAAAAGGUUCUGGUUAAUACCUGGAGCUCAUGACGGUACCUGAAGAAUAAGCACCGGCUAACUACGUGCCAGCAGCCGCAGUAACAC